rfam:Myotis lucifugus cont2.4605, whole genome shotgun sequence.
GAUGGUUCUCAGGUGACACACCCCGGAAUUGGGCUCCCUCCUCUCUGGUUCUGGGGUGCAUCACCCGAGAACUGCC